AUACGUAGGGUGCAAGCGUUAAUCGGAAUUACUGGGCGUAAAGCGUGCGCAGGCGGAUUUGGAAGACAGUGGUGAAAUCCCCGGGCUCAACCUGGGAACUGCCAUUGUGACUGCAAGGCUGGAGUGCGGCAGAGGGGGAUGGAAUUCCGCGGGUCGGAGGGGAAUGCGUAGAUAUGCGGAGGAACACCGAUGGCGAAGGGAAUCCCCUGGGCCUGCACUGACGCUCAUGCACGAAAGCGUGGGGCGCAAACAGGAUUAGAUACCCUGGUAGUCCACGCCCUAAACGAUGUCAACUGGUUGUUGGGGAUUUAUUUUCUCAGUAACGAAGCUAACGCGUGAAGUUGACCGCCUGGGGAGUACGGCCGCAAGGUUAAAACUCAAAGGAAUUGACGGGG
rnacentral:rRNA from 1 species